GCCGAGGUGGUGGAAUCUGGUAGACACGCGAUCUUGAGGGGGUCGUGGGCGAAAGCCCGUGUGGGUUCAAUUCCCGCCCUCGGCACCA
rnacentral:tRNA from 1 species